rnacentral:tRNA from 1 species
GCCCUAUGGUGUACGGUGGCACUGGCGGUCUCUAAAACCGCAUAUCUUCUGAGGAUGACAGGGUGGGUUCGACUCCUACUAGGGCGU